rnacentral:rRNA from 1 species
GACCGGCGCACGGUUUGAGUAACACGUAUGCAACCUGCCCGCCACAGGGGGAUAAGCGGAAGAAAUUCCGUCUAAUACCGCGUGACGCGGCGUCGGGGCAUCCCGGUGCCGCCAAAGGGAUUACCGGUGGCGGAUGGGCAUGCGGCGCAUUAGCUAGUCGGCGGGGUAACGGCCCACCGAGGCGACGAUGCGUAGGGGUUCUGAGAGGAAGGUCCCCCACACUGGUACUGAGACACGGACCAGACUCCUACGGGAGGCAGCAGUGAGGAAUAUUGGUCAAUGGGCGGGAGCCUGAACCAGCCAAGUCGCGUGAGGGAUGACGGUCCUACGGAUUGUAAACCUCUUUUGCCGGGGAGCAAGCGUGCGUUCGUGAACGCGCGUCGAGAGUACCCGGAGAAAAAGCAUCGGCUAACUCCGUGCCAGCAGCCGCGGUAAUACGGAGGAUGCGAGCGUUAUCCGGAUUUAUUGGGUUUAAAGGGUGCGUAGGCGGGAUGCCAAGUCAGCGGUAAAAAAGCGGUGCUCAACGCCGUCGAGCCGUUGAAACUGGCGUUCUUGAGUGGGCGAGAAGUAUGCGGAAUGCGUGGUGUAGCGGUGAAAUGCAUAGAUAUCACGCAGAACUCCGAUUGCGAAGGCAGCAUACCGGCG